UAAUCAAAGAAAUGGUACCUUGAAGAGAGUGGUAGAGACUACUGCCAAUGAAGAUUCAUAUAUACCAUAUUGCUAAAGCAAGUUGAUAAUGCUUUCAAAAGUAUGAUUAUGUAAUUUUUUUUAUCAUGAAUAUAAAUGAAAAUAAAAGUUAAAUUUAUUAUUUGCUUACUAAGAUUGUCUUCUAAAAAGUAAGUAUUUUUAAAUCAAGUUGAAUAAAUACAAAUAUUAGAAGUUUAAUUAAAAAUAGAAAAAAAUAU
rnacentral:lncRNA from 1 species